rnacentral:lncRNA from 1 species
UAACCCCGGGCCGCAAAAUGGCCGAGGUUUUUGGCCAUUUUAGGCAUCAACCAAUGCCUCAUUCUGUAGUAGUGUUAGAUUCUAAUUCCUCUAAAAUCAAGGGAUCCAAACAGGCCCUCAGUAUAUUUCAUUAGCGCAUGCAUACAUGUACAUACGUAUAUGGGUGCUAUUGAUAAUCAUGUAGCAAUAUUGCAUUAGGAGG